AAUGGUCAGCCUCAGCGAGGAGUGCACUAGGAAAAGCCAACGUUUGAGCCCACUGAACAGCCUGCAUCCCUGCUAUCUCCUGGCAGAGAGAGUUGAACGCAGCUGAGUGAUACCAUCUCCCUGCCCUUCUCAAACUGCUGCUCCAGUCCACACAACAGCACUGCGGGGUGCACCGUGAUGAUGCAGUUUUCCAAAGUGGUCGUGCUUGGAUUGCCAUAUUUACAUUGCUCACAACUCCAGUCAGCUCGCCUUUCAAGCUGGAUACUGCAACAUGUGAACAUGCAACAGGUCACAAAAUUGCUUAAGAUGCCUCAAGGCUGUCUCUUCUAACAGAGGCUCGGGGAAAUGGAGUGAGGGCCACAGAAAACUUUGUGAAGCAACUACAGAAGAGGGCAGUGUUUGCAGUGCCUGGUGGCUCAAGGGGGAGUUUAACAGAAAGUUAAGGCCUGAGCUUCCAAUGCGCAUCUCCACCUCCAUGAUGUUUACCUGAACAAUACGGUUCUGAGAAGACACCCUCCUGUUUCCUGAUGAGCUGUCAUCAGCUGUAUCACUUUCCAACAGGUAACCCAAUUUGAGUAGAUAUCUUGCUCAGUAUCUCAAUACCCUCUUUCUCCUCCAGCUAGGAGUAAAAUUCUCUGACAAGGAUGAACAGUCUAGAUCCAAGGCUGUUUAUUGAACUUCUGCUAGUGCAGCAAUCCCUUCAAUUUCUUAGCUAUCCUGCAGACUCUCAGGAGGCAAGGAAAGGUACAUUUCCCUUUUCUUCUCAGAU